CUAUUUAACAAGUGGGGAGGGGUGGCUCAUGCCAGCGCAUGCAGAAGGUGAGGUGUCAUUUUGGAAAGCGCAGUAACAGAGGGCUUCGCAGAGCAGGUGACAUUUGACAGACUCAAAGGAGCAGAGCUGGGAGCUACCUGGGGAAGGAGCUCGAGGACAGGAGACAGCCUGGAGGCGCGAGGGUCCCACUGUAUAGUUCAGGAUGGCCUCAAACUCAUGGAGACCCUGCUUCCAAGAGCUGGAAUUAGAGGCAUGCACCGCCACCCUCGAAGCACUGACCUCUGGACAGACCCUCACAACUUCUAA
rnacentral:lncRNA from 1 species